AUGCUUGCCUCGGCAGCACAUAUACUAAAAUUGGAAUGAUACAGAGAAGAUUAACAUGGCCCCUGAGCAUGGAUGACAUGCAAAUUUGUGAAGUGUAGGCUGUCAGU